rnacentral:rRNA from 1 species
AUUGAACGCUGGCGGCAUGCCUUACACAUGCAAGUCGAACGGUAACAGGUCUUCGGAUGCUGACGAGUGGCGAACGGGUGAGUAAUGCAUCGGAACGUGCCCAGUAGUGGGGGAUAGCCCGGCGAAAGCCGGAUUAAUACCGCAUACGACCUGAGGGUGAAAGGGGGGGAUCGCAAGACCUCUCGCUAUUGGAGCAGCCGAUGUCAGAUUAGCUAGUUGGUGGGGUAAAGGCCUACCAAGGCAACGAUCUGUAGUUGGUCUGAGAGGACGACCAGCCACACUGGGACUGAGACACGGCCCAGACUCCUACGGGAGGCAGCAGUGGGGAAUUUUGGACAAUGGGCGCAAGCCUGAUCCAGCAAUGCCGCGUGCAGGAAGAAGGCCUUCGGGUUGUAAACUGCUUUUGUCAGGGAAGAAAUCUUCUGGGUUAAUACCUCGGGAGGAUGACGGUACCUGAAGAAUAAGCUCCGGCUAACUACGUGCCAGCCGCCGCCGUAAGAC